rnacentral:rRNA from 1 species
AUUGAACGCUGGCGGCAGGCCUAACACAUGCAAGUCGAGCGAGCGGCGGACGGGUGAGUAAUGUAUGGGGACUGCCCGAUAGAGGGGGAUAACUACUGUAAACGGUAGCUAAUACCGCAUACUAUCGGAUAACCCAUAUGGGAUUAGCUAGUAGGUGAGGUAAUGGCUCACAUAGGCGACGAGCCCUAGCUGGGUUGAGAGAAGGAUCAGACACACUGGGAAUGUGACACGGCCCAGACUCCUACGGGGGCGGCAGUAGGGAAUAUUGCACAAUUGGCGCAAGCCUGAUGCAGCCAUGACGCGUGUAUGAGGAAGGCCCUAGGGUUGUAAAGUACUUUCAGUCGGGAGGCGUUACCGACAGAAGAAGCACCGGGUAACUCCGUGCCAGCAGCCGCGGUAAUUC